AAUAUCAUACCUUCUUCCUUAGUCCACUGGUCUUAGCUGCUGAAUCUGUUUAAUUUCACUUACUGAUGGUGGUUGUAUUUUACCAUUGCACCCUGUCCAAUUAGAGCAAUACCCUAAGUCCACAAGAAACCAGUUUAAGCAACAUUAAAAACACACCAGUUCUCAGACUAGAUGUACUUAGUGGUAGAGUGGCGGAUCCAGAACAAAAUCUUAGGUGUGGUGGACUUAUCGCCUUGUUGUGCUUGAAAUAUAGUAUCUUCGAUGCAUAGCAGUCUUUUUUGUUCUAAUGAGGAAUGCAACAUUAUGAUUAAUAAAAGGAGGAAAAAACAAAGUUACAAGGAUUACGCCAACCACUGAAGAAGAAAAAUUUAUCUCCUGAUCAAGUUUACUGCAUUGGUGGAUAAGUGAUCACUAAUUCAUAGAGUACUUCAUAACACAAAUGAUAAAUCCCACAAAAGCAAUUAUUGGUGACUGCACUCUGCAGAGACCCUGGACCGCUUUGGCACCACCCUCUGCACAAUGGCGCAAGCCACCAUCUAGCAAUCCAGACUCUAGCAUAGCGCAGCCGCUGGAGAGCGCCAUGACGCCGCUCAGAGGAAAUACAGGGCCCACGAUGUGUCGCAAGGUUAAUGGCCCACAAGACCAUGUACCCACACAUCCUCGUUUAUGUACCCUGACAUUUCAUCUCCAUCUCCAAUACUACUGCACGCUCACUCUAGACGGCGGCUGGCUGGGAAGAAAGUGUCAAGAGUGGGUGUUCCGCUGGUGGGCAGGUGUGGCUACUGCCAUACCUCGUCAUAUAGGUAGAUCCGCCCCCUGGUGGCAGUUGCCUAAAAAAAUCUGCUGCAGCCUUUGAAUCAAUUGGGGAAUUGAACAGUCACAUGAAAAAAAAAUUCUCAUCCAAGUUUUCUAUAUUAUCUUAUCACCUUAAUUUCUUAUCCUAAGGCCUUAACCUGACAGUGCAACAUGUGAACUAAUUUGAACUCAAAUAGUGUAUCUCUGUACCGGAGUACCUAUGAAGAUCUAUGUCCAUGCAUUUAUCAUAUCAAUUAGGAAAUUAGUAGUAGAAUUUUUUAGCAAAUUUAGAGUGGAAGGUGAAGCUAGGUCAGAUAUCGAGAGAAAGGUCUUAAUAUGUUAGGGCCUUCUUGAUAUUGUUGUUACGUACUCCCUCCGUUCGCUUUUGAUAGGCAUAUUUCCAAAUCUGAAAAAUUCUCUUUUGAUAGUCUUAUUUCAGUCCAACUAUGCAUCCACUUAAUGGUUGUCUUGGGUCCGAUGUGUGACUCUUAAUUCUUCCAACCGAGAUUGGCUACAUGGGCAUCAAGAAAUCUAGGCCUUAAUGAAUCGCUUGUUUACGAGGACUAGUUAAUGGCAUGAUUAAAUGGUUGAUAAGUAGCAUGAUAGGUAGGAUUGUUUUCCUUGGUCAUUGUGCCAAGAGGAAAUAGUACUAUCAAAAGAGAAUGGAGGGAGUAUUACUUCUUGUACAUUUGUUUUUUGAAUCGGUCAAUUGUUCUAUGCCUAAAUUGUCUUAAUUUGUUUUCCCAGAAAAACAUUCAGUUAAUUUAUGUUAGCCUCUAGCACCUCCCUGGAUCACACACCCACUCGCACAAUGUUUAGCACGAUCUCCAAGAAAGUUCUCAUUGAUAAGGAACGCACACAAUUUUGUGGCACUGCACACCAGCGACCUUUUUUGCACUAAAAUUCACCACACUUUAACACGACAUUACGCUGAUUUUACACAUCACAACCACACAUGCACUAUGCUGUGACUCAGCUGCACAAAGCGGCCAAGAACACUCAUACAGCUAGCUCAUUAACACAGGCACACGAACUCCACAUAGCACGCAGCCACAUGCUACAUGCACGAGUUCUACAUAGCAUGCACUCCGUGCUUUACGAACUGAUCAAUUUGCUUCACUCGCAAACUGAUCAACACUACACCACCACCACCCUCCACUCACCUACAUUGCUCCCCCUUCUAUCUUUCUCACACUCACACUCACACCACCACACCUUUUAUAGCACAAGACAGCCCUAAUGCCUUACUCUUGAAGACUCAAGUCUUGACUUACACACUAAGGCAAAGACUUGACUUGCACCCUAAGGCAAAGACUUGACUUGCACUAAGAGAAGACUUGACUCAAACUAACAUCCAACAAGGAUUACACUAACAACCUCCCCCUAAUCCUUGUUGGCUUUAUUCUGCACCUCUGAGCAUGCACCUUCACACCAGGGCUCGCACCGACCUCACUCCCACAGCCGCACCACCACCAUGACGCCAUCUGCUCCCCAACGCCAUCCGCGGCUUGCAGCACGAGCCCACCACGCAUGCUCCACUUGAGCUUGCUAGCCCCUACCAUAACAAUCGCGCCCUUGCACACUUCCUAUGUACAAGCCAUCAGUGGCGGACCCACGUUGAGUUCAGCUAGGCACAGGCCCUCACUCACUCAGACCUUGGUGCGCACUGGAGGUCUUUAUUUUCUGACCAUGUAUAGUUGCAUACUUUGGGUGAUUAAGCAUAGUAUGCCCUCACUCACAUUUCUCUCUAGGUCCGCCCCUGAAGCCAUGUCGUGGUACUCCCACACUCUGAUCGAUCCGACCACCACAUCCGAUCGAUAUGUGUCCCAUCAGAUGGUCUAGGCCACCCGCCUAGAGUUCUUGACACCACAGAUUGGAUCACCGACCACCGCCAUGCUCCACCUUGCACAGCACCAAGCACUUUCCUGGUGCCCAUCGAGCAUGAACCUCGAGUCUUCACCUCCCUCCAUGCCUCCUCAAGAUCCAAAACCAACCAUACGGCUCUGAUACUAAUUGUUAGCCUCUAGCACCUCCCCAGGUCACACACCCACUCACACAAUGUUUAGCAUGAUCUACAAGAAAGCUCUCACUGAUAAGGAACGCACACACAAUUUUGUGGCACUACACACCAGCACCCUUUUUUGCACUAAAAUUCACCACACUAUAACAUGACAUUACACUGAUUUUACACAUCACAAACACACAUGCACUAAGCUGUGACUCAGCCGCACAACCUGGCCAAGAACACACACAGCUAGCUCACUAACACAGGCACACGAACUCCACAUAGCACGCAGCCACACACUACAUGCAUGAGCUCCACAUAGCACGCACUCCGUGCUUCAUGAACCGAACAAUUUGCUUCACUCGCAAACUGAUCAACACUACACCACCACCAUUUUCCACUCUCUUUCUCAGACUCUCACUCACACUCACACUCACACUGCCACUCAAGUCUUGACUUAGACACUAAGGCAAAGACUUGACUCAAACUAACAUCCAACAAGGAUUACACUAACAAU